GAUGCAUGUAGUUCAGUGGUAGAAUGCUACGUUGACAUCGUAGAGGUCGCAAGUUCAAUUCUUGCCGUGCCCACCA
rnacentral:tRNA from 1 species